CGCGGGGUGGUAGCAGUUGGUAGCUCGUCGGGCUCAUAACCCGAAGGUCGCAGGUUCGAGUCCUGCCCCCGCUACUA
rnacentral:tRNA from 1 species